AACGUAGGUUCCGAGCGUUAUCCGGAUUUACUGGGCGUAAAGCGCGUUCAGGCGGUUUGGCAAGUCGGGCGUGAAAUCUCUCGGCUCAACCGGGAGAGGUUGUCCGAUACUGCUGGACUUGAGGGCAGUAGAGGGUGGUGGAAUUCCGGGUGUAGUGGUGAAAUGCGUAGAUAUCCGGAGGAACACCAGUGGCGAAAGCGGCCACCUGGACCGGUUCUGACGCUGAUGCGCGAAAGCGUGGGUAGCAAACAGG
rnacentral:rRNA from 1 species